CGMAAGCCUGACGGAGCAAWRCCGCGUGAGGGAGGAAGGCUCUUGGGUUGUAAACCUCUUUUCUCAGGGAAGAAGCUCUGACGGUACCUGAGGAAUMAGCCUCGGCUAACUCCGUGCCAGCAGCCGCGGUAAKACGGAGGAGGCAAGCGUUAUCCGGAAUUAUUGGGCGUAAAGCGUCCGCAGGCGGUUAUUYAAGUCUGCUGUUAAAGCCCRCRGCUYAACUGUGGUUCGGCAGUGGAAACUGAAUARCUSGAGAGCWGUAGGGGUAGAGGGAAUUCCCGGUGUAGCGGUGAAAUGCGUAGAUAUCGGGAAGAACACCAGUG
rnacentral:rRNA from 1 species